ACAAUAUUGAAUAUUAAAGAACAACUAUUCAUUAUGAUUCAGGGUCAUAGUUCAGUUCAGUGGAGCGAUUGGGUUACUUGCAGAAGCUGGCAAAGUUGGAUGCAGAGUCUGGAGUGAAUCUGAAAUCUAGAUUCGUCAGAGCUUUUACAAGCUGAAGGUGGACACAUGUACGUGUGUGACAUACAUCAUGAGACCAGCAUGUAGGAAUGGUUGCGAUUGCUUUUGACAAGACUUGAAAGAUUUAACACCCUACCUGACCUGAUCACAGAGGAAGUGCAGAUAACCAAUUCAUUCUCAAUGACAUAGAACUGU